rnacentral:lncRNA from 1 species
AGAAUGGGAGAAUGUACAAGUGGGAAUAAAAUAAAGAAUGGAAAAACAAGUGUGGAAAACAAAAAUAAUCUAAGAUAGGAGAGCAUCUCCGAAGAAGAGAGAAUCAUAAGUACAAUGCAGGGAACAAUUAAUUCAGACCUAGAAUCCACUCGUUGAGGAGAAAAAAGUUUUGUGAUAGAAACUUCAUCUUAUAGCUUUCCAAAUGCACCUACAAAAUGCACAAACAAACGGAUCCA